rnacentral:tRNA from 1 species
ACCUGGGUGGCUCAGUGGUUGAGCAUCUGCCUUUGGUGCAGGUCGUGAUCCUGGGAUACUGGGAUCGAAUCCCACAUCAGGCU